AUUGAACGCUGGCGGCAUGCCUUACACAUGCAAGUCGAACGGCAGCACGGGUGCUUGCACCUGGUGGCGAGUGGCGAACGGGUGAGUAAUACAUCGGAACAUGUCCUGUAGUGGGGGAUAGCCCGGCGAAAGCCGGAUUAAUACCGCAUACGAUCUACGGAUGAAAGCGGGGGACCUUCGGGCCUCGCGCUAUAGGGUUGGCCGAUGGCUGAUUAGCUAGUUGGUGGGGUAAAGGCCUACCAAGGCGACGAUCAGUAGCUGGUCUGAGAGGACGACCAGCCACACUGGGACUGAGACACGGCCCAGACUCCUACGGGAGGCAGCAGUGGGGAAUUUUGGACAAUGGGCGAAAGCCUGAUCCAGCAAUGCCGCGUGCGUGAAGAAGGCCUUCGGGUUGUAAAGCACUUUUGUCCGGAAAGAAAUCCUUGGCCCUAAUACGGUCGGGGGAUGACGGUACCGGAAGAAUAGGCACCGGCUAACUACGUG
rnacentral:rRNA from 1 species